GAUGAACGCUGGCGGCGUGCCUAAUACAUGCAAGUCGAGCGAACGGACGAGAAGCUUGCUUCUCUGAUGUUAGCGGCGGACGGGUGAGUAACACGUGGAUAACCUACCUAUAAGACUGGGAUAACUUCGGGAAACCGGAGCUAAUACCGGAUAAUAUUUUGAACCGCAUGGUUCAAAAGUGAAAGACGGUCUUGCUGUCACUUAUAGAUGGAUCCGCGCUGCAUUAGCUAGUUGGUAAGGUAACGGCUUACCAAGGCAACGAUGCAUAGCCGACCUGAGAGGGUGAUCGGCCACACUGGAACUGAGACACGGUCCAGACUCCUACGGGAGGCAGCAGUAGGGAAUCUUCCGCAAUGGGCGAAAGCCUGACGGAGCAACGCCGCGUGAGUGAUGAAGGUCUUCGGAUCGUAAAACUCUGUUAUUAGGGAAGAACAUAUGUGUAAGUAACUGUGCACAUCUUGACGGUACCUAAUCAGAAAGCCACGGCUAACUACGUGCCAGCAGCCGCGGUAAUACGUAGGUGGCAAGCGUUAUCCGGAAUUAUUGGGCGUAAAGCGCGCGUAGGCGGUUUUUUAAGUCUGAUGUGAAAGCCCACGGCUCAACCGUGGAGGGUCAUUGGAAACUGGAAAACUUGAGUGCAGAAGAGGAAAGUGGAAUUCCAUGUGUAGCGGUGAAAUGCGCAGAGAUAUGGAGGAACACCAGUGGCGAAGGCGACUUUCUGGUCUGUAACUGACGCUGAUGUGCGAAAGCGUGGGGAUCAAACAGGAUUAGAUACCCUGGUAGUCCACGCCGUAAACGAUGAGUGCUAAGUGUUAGGGGGUUUCCGCCCCUUAGUGCUGCAGCUAACGCAUUAAGCACUCCGCCUGGGGAGUACGACCGCAAGGUUGAAACUCAAAGGAAUUGACGGGGACCCGCACAAGCGGUGGAGCAUGUGGUUUAAUUCGAAGCAACGCGAAGAACCUUACCAAAUCUUGACAUCCUUUGACAACUCUAGAGAUAGAGCCUUCCCCUUCGGGGGACAAAGUGACAGGUGGUGCAUGGUUGUCGUCAGCUCGUGUCGUGAGAUGUUGGGUUAAGUCCCGCAACGAGCGCAACCCUUAAGCUUAGUUGCCAUCAUUAAGUUGGGCACUCUAAGUUGACUGCCGGUGACAAACCGGAGGAAGGUGGGGAUGACGUCAAAUCAUCAUGCCCCUUAUGAUUUGGGCUACACACGUGCUACAAUGGACAAUACAAAGGGCAGCGAAACCGCGAGGUCAAGCAAAUCCCAUAAAGUUGUUCUCAGUUCGGAUUGUAGUCUGCAACACGACUACAUGAAGCUGGAAUCGCUAGUAAUCGUAGAUCAGCAUGCUACGGUGAAUACGUUCCCGGGUCU
rnacentral:rRNA from 1 species